ACGAACGCUGGCGGCGUGCUUCACACCUGCAAGUCGAACGGUGAAGCGCCUUCCUUUUUGGUGGGUGUGGAUGAGUGGCGAACGGGUGAGUAACACGUGAGCAACCUGCCCCCUUCUUCUGGAUAACCGCAUGAAAGUGUGGCUAAUACGGGAUAUUCUGGGUCUGUCGCAUGAUGGGUCUGGGAAAGAUAUUGUUUCGGUGGGGGAUGGGCUCGCGGCCUAUCAGCUUGUUGGUGGGGUGAUGGCCUACCAAGGCGGUGACGGGUAGCCGGCCUGAGAGGGUGGACGGUCACACUGGGACUGAGACACGGCCCAGACUCCUACGGGAGGCAGCAGUGGGGAAUAUUGCACAAUGGGCGCAAGCCUGAUGCAGCGACGCCGCGUGAGGGAUGGAGGCCUUCGGGUUGUGAACCUCUUUCGCCAGUGAAGCAGGCCUGCCUCGUUUGUGGGUGGGUUGACGGUAGCUGGAGAAGAAGCGCCGGCUAACUACGUG
rnacentral:rRNA from 1 species